GUUCAGCACUAAGUCACUUUGCCUUUAUGGCAAAUGUGAGAUGCAGUGUAUGGAAUGUCAAAUUUCUAGUAUGAGAAAUUAACGAUUUAAGUCCUUCUUAAAUGAGGCCAUUUACCCAAAGAGGGUGCCAGGCCCGUAUAACGUUAAUGAUUACUAGAUGACAUUUCCAAAGAGUCGUGUUGCUUGAUAGUGCAGCACUAAGUGGGUGGUAAACUCCAUCUAAAACUAAAUAUAACCAUGAGACCGAUAGUAAACAAGUACCGUGAGGGAAAGUUGAAAAGAACUCUGAAUAGAGAGUUAAAUAGUACGUGAAACUGCUUAGAGGUUAAGCCCGAUGAACCUGAAUAUCCAUUAUAGAAAAUUCAUCAUUAUGAAUUUUAAUAUUUUCAAAAUAAUAUUAAAUUAAUGGUGUGCAUUUUUUCUAUAAAGGACAUUGUAAUCUAUUAACAUAUAUAUUAUAUUUAUCAAAAGAUCAAUGAUGCGUAAGUUUAUUCAAAUUAUUUUGCUUGCAAUUUAACAUAGAAUAAAUGCUCUUGAUUUGAUAAAGUGUUGAUAGAUUUUAUUAUAUAUAGUGCUUAAAUAUAUUUAUAUAUUUUAUAAUAUCAUAUUAAUCAUUGAUUUUUAUGUUUAUUAUAUGCACUUAUAUGAUUAACAAUGCGAAAGAUUCAGGAUACCUUCGGGACCCGUCUUGAAACACGGACCAAGGAGUCUAACAUAUUUGCAAGUUAUUGGGAAUAUAAAACCUAAUAGCAAAAUUAACAUAACUUUAUUUUAAAAAUGGGAUUAGUUUUUAAAUUAUUGUAAAAUAGUUUAUUAAUUCAAUGCCCGGGGCGUUCUAUAUAGUUA
rnacentral:rRNA from 1 species